UCUUAUGGAUGAGUAAAGAAAGUGGUUCCUUGGGAUGGAAACUACUCCUGAUGAAGAUGCUGUCAA
rnacentral:pre_miRNA from 1 species